UGCUGGAUCGCGAAGGGACGGUGAAGGUCCUGGACAUGGGACUGGCUCGGUUUGCCAACGCGGCCGACCAAGCCGAGCUCACCAACAGCGGCCAGAUCAUGGGGACCGUCGACUACAUGGCGCCAGAGCAGGCCAUGGACACCAAACACGCCGACGCGCGGGCCGACAUCUACAGCUUGGGCGUCACGCUAUGGUACGUGCUCGCCGGGCGGCCGAUGUACGAAGGGGACACCGUCGUCAAGCGGCUCAUGGAACAUCGCGAGCGGGAGAUUCCUUCGAUCCGGCUGCUGCGCGUCGACGUGCCAGCCGAGCUGGAGGCAGUAUUCACGCGCAUGGUGGCCAAGACGCCGGAGGCGCGCUACCAGUCGAUGACGGAGGUCAUCGCGGCGUUGCAGGCGUGCCGUGCGGGCGGGCCUGCUACGGCAGUGUCGCUGGAGCCUGCGCGCGGCGACGACGAUCGGCUGAACAGUUUCUUGCGCGGCAUUGGGCCAGGGAGCGGGAUUCAAACGAGCCGCGCUCACGGCGCCACGGCGGUGGCGAGCUACACGAUGACCUCGCAGCCCGCCGCGUUUGAGCGCACGAUGGGCGGCCAGGCGCAGGUCGAUACGGACCCGCAGACUCAACUCUCGCUGCCGCAGGCGAAACCCAAGCGUGCCGCGAACAAAGCCGACGACGCCUGGUGGCGCGACCGGCGGAUUCAGAUCGCCGCGGGGGCCGCCGCCGUGCUGCUCGUGGCGCUAGGCAUCGUGGUGAUCGUAAAGAACAACAAGGGAGAAGUCGUCGCCAAGAUCGAGGCGCCGGACGGCUCGACAGUGGAAAUUGGCACGUCGUCCGACGGAACCAAGAGCGACGUCAAACCGUCGCCAGAUUGGAAAGCCGCUGCCCGCCCUGCCGGCGGCAAUGCGACCGGAGCGAUCGGCGGCGAGGUCGAUCGAUUGGUGGCGCAAUGGGCGCUGGGCGGCGGCGGCGCGUGGGUCAACGUGCGGACCGCGGCAGGCGACAAGGCCGUCAACAAGGCGUCGGAACUUCCCGCCGAAUCGUUCGCGGUGACCGGCAUUUCGGCGCCGAGCGGUUUUUGGCCGCCCGACGACGUGGCCAGGGUGGCGCAACUGAGCGAGUUGACUAAUCUCGAUGCCACGGGACGAUUUGGUUUGGACGAUCGAGCGCUAGCUCAACUCCGUCCCGCCCCGAAGCUGAUUCAAUUAAACGCUCACGGCACGAGGGUCACCGACGCGGGCACGGCGAACUUCGCGCAGAUGACCAAGCUCGAAUACCUGAACCUCAACAACUGCAACCUCACCGACGCCGCCGUCGAUUCGCUCGCCGCGUGCAAGUCGCUGCAAACGCUGGGCUUGAGCAACACCAAGAUCACCGCCGCCGGCAUCGCGAAACUGCGGCAGGCGUUGCCGCGCUGCACGCUGGUGGGGCCGGACGGCAAACACCUGCCGCCGCAAUCCGCUGCCAGCUCUCCCACUGCAGGCUGGGACGCCUUGGCAGCCAGUGCGUCGCAAACGACUCGCACCGCCGCAUACGACACGUUGGCCUCGCCGGACUACGUGUGGAGCGCGCCGGAGAACUUGGGUUCCAGCGUGAACGGCGGCGCCCAGGAACAUUCGCCUUCGCUUACGAGCGACGAAUUGACGCUGGUGUUCAGUCGACAAACGAAGGAAGGCACGGCGCUGUGGAUGAGCCGUCGUUCCUCGCGAGACCAACCGUUUGCCGCGGCGA
rnacentral:misc_RNA from 1 species